ensembl:lncRNA
GGGAGAGACCCCCGAGCCCGGGGAGAGACCCCCGAAACGGGGAGAGACCCCCAAAACCGGGGAGAGAGCCCCGAAACCGGGGAGAGACCCCCAAACCCGGGGAGAGACCCCCGAGCCUGGGGAGAGACCGCCCAGAACCCGGGGAGAGACUCCCGAAACGGGGAGAGACCCCCGAGCCCGGGGAGAGACCCCCAAACCCGGGGAGAGACCCCCAAACCCGGGGAGAGACCCCCGAACCGGGGAGAGACCCCCGAGCCCAGGGAGAGACCCCCGAACUGGGGGGAGCCCCCGAACCCGGGGAGAGACCCCCGAACCGGGGAGAGACCCCCGAACCCGGGGAGAGAGCCCUGAGCCCGGGGAGAGACCCCCAAACCUGGGGAGAGACCCCCGAACCGGGGAGAGACCCCCGAACCCGGGGAGAGACCCCCAAACCUGGGAGAGACCGCCCAGAACCCGGGGAGAGACCCCCAAACCCGGGGAGAGACCCCCGAGCCCGGGGAGAGACCGCCCAGAACCCGGGGAGAGACUCCCGAAACGGGGAGAGACCCCCAAACCGGGGAGAGACCCCCGAACCGGGGAGAGACCCCCAAACACAGGGAGAGACCCCCGAACCCGGGGGGCGCUGCUGGAGCUCGCCCCCUCCCCUCUUUUCCAGACUGGGUGUGGCCGGAGGCGCUGCUGGAACCGAAAGCCGGGAGGUCCCGAGGGGGCCGCGACCCCCCGGGACGGACUCGGGACCCCCGGGAUGGGCCGAGGGACCCCCGGGAUGGACCGAGGGACCCCCGGGAUGGGCCGAGGAACCCCCUGGGAUUUAGCCGGGACCCCCCAGGAUGGAUCCAGGAGCCCCCAGGAUGGACGCGACCCCCCCAGAAUGGACAGGGACCCCCCAGGAUGGACACGGAGUCACCCGGGGGGGAACGGGAGCCACCGGGACAGCUCCGGGACCCCCCGGGAAAGCUCCGGGACCCCCCGGGACAGCUCCGGGACCCCUCGGGAUGGGCACGGGACCCCCCGGGACAGCCCCGGGACCCCCCGGGACACCUCCGGGACCCCCCGGGGAAGCUCCGGGACUCCCUGGGGAAGCUCCAAGACCCCCCAGAACAGCCCCGGGACCCCUCGGGAAAGCUCCGGGACCCCCUGGGACACCUCCGGGACCCCCCGGGACACCUCCGGGACCCCUCGGGAAAGCUCCGGGACCCCUCGGGAUGGGCACGGGACCCCUCGGGAUGGGCACGGGACCCCUCGGGACAGCCCCGGGACCCCUCGGGACACCUCCGGGACUCCCCGGGGAAGCUCCGGGACCUCUCGGGACAGCCCCGGGACCUCCCGGGAAAACUCCGGGACCCCCCGGAGAAGCUCCGGGACCCCUCGGCACGGUCACGACCCCUCCCGGACGCCCCCCGAGCCCCCCGGGAGGCGGAGCAGCGGCACCGAG